UACGUAGGGGGCUAGCGUUGUCCGGAAUCAUUGGGCGUAAAGCGCGUGUAGGCGGUUCGGUAAGUCCGCUGUGAAAGUCGGGGGCUCAACCCUCGGAUGCCGGUGGAUACUGUCGGACUAGAGUACGGAAGAGGCGAGUGGAAUUCCUGGUGGUAGCGGUGAAAUGCGCAGAUAUCAGGAGGAACACCAAUUGCGAAGGCAGCUCGCUGGGACGUUACUGACGCUGAGACGCGAAAGCGUGGGAGCAAACAG
rnacentral:rRNA from 1 species